rnacentral:lncRNA from 1 species
AGGUUGACAGUAGGAAAGGUAAACGAGUCUGCUCAUAAACUGGAGCUGUAAAAAAAUUGAGCCUGAUCACAGUUCUUUCAAGCUUACAUGUCUGCAAACCCAACAUGGAGGUUGGUACGUAGUUCUUCUAAAUCAAGAAUAUGUAUGCAUAUAGAUGAUUGAAAAAAGUGUACCUAUGAAAACUACAAAGCAGCUCCCUAAUCGUCCAUCCACUAUUCUUUUUCUUUUUCUCUCUUUGUAUGUAGGUUUUUUCUUUUCCUAAAAAGUAUCACGAAGUAGAUGAAAUUUCAUUGUAUGUUAUAGGUGAACUAGUUUUGGAUAUUCUUAAUUUAAUGUAACGAAAAUUAAUCGAGUUUGAGUGCUCAGCUUGAGAUUAAUCAAUAAAUUGAGGAUCUAUUGUGUUUUUGAAGUGCU